rnacentral:pre_miRNA from 1 species
AUACUACCUCCAGUCCUUUUUAUAAGAAACAAGUUUCAGUGUAAAAUUCACUAUAACUUGUUUCUUAUAAAAAGGACCAAAGGGAGUA